rnacentral:rRNA from 1 species
GGGGAAUAUUGGACAAUGGGCGCMAGCCUGAUCCAGCCAUGCCGCGUGUGUGAAGAAGGCCCUCGGGUUGUAAAGCACUUUCAGUGGGGAAGAAAGCCUUGGGGCUAAUACCCUCGAGGAAGGACAUCACCCACAGAAGAAGCACCGGCUAACUCCGUGCCAGCAGCCGCGGUAAUACGGAGGGUGCGAGCGUUAAUCGGAAUUACUGGGCGUAAAGCGCGCGUAGGUGGCUUGAUAAGCCGGUUGUGAAAGCCCCGGGCUCAACCUGGGAACGGCAUCCGGAACUGUCAGGCUAGAGUGCAGGAGAGGAAGGUAGAAUUCCCGGUGUAGCGGUGAAAUGCGUAGAGAUCGGGAGGAAUACCAGUGGCGAAGGCGGCCUUCUGGACUGACACUGACACUGAGGUGCGAAAGCGUGGGUAGCAAACAGGAUUAGAUACCCUGGUAGUCCACGCCGUAAACGAUGUCGACUAGCCGUUGGGAGCCUCGAGUUCUUAGUGGCGCAGUUAACGCGAUAAGUCGACCGCCUGGGGAGUACGGCCGCAAGGUUAAAAC